rnacentral:rRNA from 1 species
GUAGGUGGCAAGCGUUGUCCGGAUUUACUGGGCGUAAAGGAUGCGUAGGUGGAUAUUUAAGUGGGAUGUGAAAUACCCGAGCUCAACUUGGGUGCUGCAUUCCAAACUGGAUAUCUAGAGUGCAGGAGAGGUAAGUGGAAUUCCUAGUGUAGCGGUGAAAUGCGUAGAGAUUAGGAAGAACACCAGUGGCGAAGGCGACUUACUGGACUGUAACUGACACUGAGGCAUGAAAGCGUGGGGAGCAAACAGGAUUAGAUACCCUGGUAGUCCACGCCGUAAACGAUGGGUACUAGGUGUAGGGGGGUCCAACCCUCUGUGCCGCCGUUAACACAAUAAGUACCCCGCCUGGGGAGUACGGUCGCAAGAUUA